GACGAACGCUGGCGGCGUGCUUAACACAUGCAAGUCGAACGGAAAGGCCCUGCUUUUGUGUGGUGCUCGAGUGGCGAACGUGUGAGUAACACGGGAGUAACCUGCCCUUUACUUUGGGAUAACUUCAGGAAACUGGUGCUAAUACCUGAUAGGAGCUCCUGCUGCAUGGUGGGGGUUGGAAAGUUUCGGCGGUUGGGGAUGGACUCGCGGCUUAUCAGCUUGUUGGUGGGGUAGUGGCUUACCAAGGCUUUGACGGGUAGCCGGCCUGAGAGGGUGACCGGCCACAUUGGGACUGAGAUACGGCCCAGACUCCUACGGGAGGCAGCAGUGGGGAAUAUUGCACAAUGGGCGGAAGCCUGAUGCAGCAACGCCGCGUGCGGGAUGAAGGCCUUCGGGUUGUAAACCGCUUUCGCCUGUGACGAAGCGUGAGUGACGGUAAUGGGUAAAGAAGCACCGGCUAACUACGUG
rnacentral:rRNA from 1 species